AUUGAACGCUGGCGGCAGGCCUAACACAUGCAAGUCGAGCGGAUGAGUGGAGCUUGCUCCAUGAUUCAGCGGCGGACGGGUGAGUAAUGCCUAGGAAUCUGCCUGGUAGUGGGGGACAACGUUUCGAAAGGAACGCUAAUACCGCAUACGUCCUACGGGAGAAAGCAGGGGACCUUCGGCCUUGCGUUAUCAGAUGAGCCUAGGUCGGAUUAGCUAGUAGGUGAGGUAAUGGCUCACCUAGGCGACGAUCCGUAG
rnacentral:rRNA from 1 species